UACACCGGCGCUGCAGCGCUGUUUUCUUCGUGCACUGUCAAACUGUAUGUGGCGCGAAACACUGUGAACUUUCAACCCUGAAGAUAAUGCAGACCUAACGUCUACAUUGGAAGAAAGCGCCAUCAGUCACAAAUGCUGCUUCGUCAUUGGUUAACUCAUAGGGGGGAGGCUGACCUAGCGACGUCAAGUCGUACUUAACUUAUGAAGUUGGUGUCAGGAGGAAUGGAGGAAGAAACAGUUUCAGGACAAAAAAGAGGGAGCAGUGUACAGGAAAGAAGAGCCCAACAACUUGUCCAAGAAAAGUGCAAUUCUUACAGAAAUCUUAACAUCAUGGAUUUUUACUUUAAUGUCUCUUUGUUUUACGAUGAUUGGUAUGGGGGAUUUUAAAUAAUAUUUUUCAGUCCUUCGGUGGUCUAAUAUGGUUAAAUGAACACAAUCUGUAUAUCUAAAGAUAUUAAGAAGUUGCUGUACUAAAUUAUGAGAUGUGAUGACAGUGUAAAACCAAAUAAGACAUUGAACCACUUUUUUAAAUUAUUACAAUGUAUUAUAUUUCACAGAUUGAAUGGCCCAGCAGGAAAUUAUAAAAAGAGAUGCCCAAAAGAGUGCGAUACCCACCGAAGAAGAGGAGCUUUUAUGACCCAGACCCUGACUCACCCAGAGAUGACCAAGCUUACACCAUGCGCUGCAGUACGCUGGAUGAUUGGACACCGAUCGAAAAAAGCCUUGAUCAACAAAUGUCGCAUGAGGGGUACAACAUAAAUUCUAGAUGUACUUAAAGACAUUUGUUGCAGUGUUCAAAGCCCUAAUACUGCUGGGCUUAGAGACUUAAUUUUUGUUUGCUGUCUAAAAACUGUGUUGAACUUUGUUGUUAAUAUUAUGGCUGUUGAUGUUAUUAUAGCUAUUGGAAAUGUAAAUUGUUUGCACUUUGUUUUUUGUUGGUGUUAAUUAAAAAAUGUUUGCCCGCCUGUCUGCCUUGCCUCCAUUUGCCUGCGUUUGGGUCCGCACCACUUGCCCGCCCACAUUCUUUGACAAAAAUUCUCAGCAGUACUCAAUUUUCAAGUACAAUUACUGUUGGAUUUCACUAAAGCCAUU